AUGAACGCUGGCGGCGUGCUUAACACAUGCCAGUCGAACGGGAUCCAAGGGGUGCUUGCACUUUUUGGUGAGAGUGGCGAACGGGUGAGUAACACGUGAGUAACCUGUCCUUUUCUUUGGGAUAAGCAUUCGAAAGGGUGUUUAAUACCUUAUGUUCUGUCUGCCUCGCAUGGGGUGGGUGGGAAAGGCUUUGGCCGGAUUUGGGUGGGCUCGCGGUCUAUCAGCUUGUUGGUGGGGUGAUGGCUUACCAAGGCUUUGACGGGUAGCCGGCCUGAGAGGGUUGGGGGACACAGGGGGUCUGAUACGGGGCCGAGACUCGCGGGGGGGAGCAGUGGGGGAUAUUGUACAAUGGGCGAAAGACUGAGGUGGCGAGGCGGCGCGGGGGAGGAGGGGGUGCGCGGUUUGUACUUUUCUUGUUCUGAGCAAGGCAUGUCCGUGGGUGUGUUGAGUGUAGGGGUUGAUUAGCGCCGGCUAACUACGUG
rnacentral:rRNA from 1 species